ACUCAAAUGAAUUGACGGGGGCCCGCACAAGCGGUGGAGCAUGUGGUUUAAUUCGAUGCAACGCGAAGAACCUUACCUACUCUUGAAUCCACAGAAUUUUGCAGAGAUGUGAAAGUGCCUUCGGGAACUGUGAGACAGGUGCUGCAUGGCUGUCGUCAGCUCGUGUCGUGAGAUGUUGGGUUAAGUCCCAUAACGAGCGCAACCCUCGUCCUUAGUUACUAACGCGUUAUGGCGAGGACUCUAAGGAGACCGCCGGUGAUAAACCGGAGGAAGGUGGGGACGAUGUCAAGUCAUCAUGGCCCAUACGAGUAGGGCUACACACGUGCUACAAUGGUCGGUACAAAGGGCAGCGAAGUCGCGAGAUGGAGCAAAUCCUAAAAAGCCGAUCUUAGUCCGGAUUGGAGUCUGCAACUCGACUCCAUGAAGCUGGAAUCGCUAGUAAUCGUGGAUCAGAACGCCACGGUGAAUACGUUCUCGGGCCUUGUACACACCGCCCGU
rnacentral:rRNA from 1 species